UACGGGGGGGGCAAGCGUUGUUCGGAAUUACUGGGCGUAAAGGGUCUGUAGGUGGCCAACUAAGUCAGACGUGAAAUCCCUCAGCUUAACUGGGGAACUGCGUCUGAUACUGGUUGGCUUGAGUGCAGGAGAGGAAUGCGGAAUUCCAGGUGUAGCGGUGAAAUGCGUAGAUAUCUGGAGGAACACCGGUGGCGAAGGCGGCAUUCUGGACUGCAACUGACACUGAAAGACGAAAGCCAGGGGAGCAAAUGGG
rnacentral:rRNA from 1 species